rnacentral:rRNA from 1 species
GAUGAACGCUGGCGGCGUGCCUAAUACAUGCAAGUCGAGCGAACGGACGAGAAGCUUGCUUCUCUGAUGUUAGCGGCGGACGGGUGAGUAACACGUGGAUAACCUACCUAUAAGACUGGGAUAACUUCGGGAAACCGGAGCUAAUACCGGAUGAUAUUUUGAACCGCAUGGUUCAAAAGUGAAAGACGGUCUUGCUGUCACUUAUAGAUGGAUCCGCGCUGCAUUAGCUAGUUGGUAAGGUAACGGCUUACCAAGGCAACGAUGCAUAGCCGACCUGAGAGGGUGAUCGGCCACACUGGAGCGGGGACACGGUCCAGACUCCUACGGGAGGCAGCAGUAGGGAAUCUUCCGCAAUGGGCGAAAGCCUGACGGAGCAACGCCGCGUGAGUGAUGAAGGUCUUCGGAUCGUAAAACUCUGUUAUUAGGGAAGAACAUAUGUGUAAGUAACUGUGCACAUCUUGACGGUACCUAAUCAGAAAGCCACGGCUAACUACGUG